AGCGAACGCUGGCGGCAGGCUUAACACAUGCAAGUCGAACGCAUCCUUCGGGGUGAGUGGCAGACGGGUGAGUAACACGUGGGAACGUACCCUUCGAUCUGGGCUAACUUCGGGAAACUGGAGCUAAUACCGGAUACGCCCUUUUGGGGAAAGGUUUACUGUCGAAGGAUCGGCCCGCGUCUGAUUAGCUAGUUGGUGGGGUAACGGCCUACCAAGGCGACGAUCAGUAGCUGGUCUGAGAGGAUGAUCAGCCACACUGGGACUGAGGCACGGCCCAGACUCCUACGGGAGGCAGCAGUGGGGAAUAUUGGACAAUGGGCGCAAGCCUGAUCCAGCCAUGCCGCGUGAGUGAUGAAGGCCUUAGGGUUGUAAAGCUCUUUUGUCCGGGACGAUAAUGACGGUACCGGAAGAAUAAGCCCCGGCUAACUUCGUG
rnacentral:rRNA from 1 species